rnacentral:lncRNA from 1 species
GAAGAUAGAAAUGAUAAGCCUGAAGUUAUCCUGAGCCUAUGUGACAAGUGUGAGCAGCUGAAGCUUCUGAGAAGGUUAUAAACAUGGGAUGUAAAUGCUGGUUGAAAUACUACGAGUGCGUGUUUUCCUUUGGUGAGAAGGCCAAGAAGAUUGCUGAUCAAGGAGAAAGACAAAGAGCAGCUACAAUCCUGGGUGGCCCCAUUGAUUGAGACACAUGUGAAGCGGUGCGUGCUUUAUAUUGUCUCCCUGAAUCAGCACUGUUCAUCAUCACUUGUCAAGAGGU